AAAGGCCUGCAGCUUGCUGCGGGUACUCGAGUGGCGAACGGGUGAGUAACACGUGGGUGAUCUGCCUUGCACUUCGGGAUAAGCUUGGGAAACUGGGUCUAAUACCGGAUAGGACAGCUGCUUAGUGUCAGUUGUGGAAAGUUUUUUCGGUGCAAGAUGAGCUCGCGGCCUAUCAGCUUGUUGGUGGGGUAAUGGCCUACCAAGGCGUCGACGGGUAGCCGGCCUGAGAGGGUGUACGGCCACAUUGGGACUGAGAUACGGCCCAGACUCCUACGGGAGGCAGCAGUGGGGAAUAUUGCACAAUGGGCGGAAGCCUGAUGCAGCGACGCCGCGUGGGGGAUGAAGGCCUUCGGGUUGUAAACUCCUUUCGACAGGGACGAAGCGUAAGUGACGGUACCUGUAUAAGAAGCACCGGCUAACUACGUGCCAGCAGCCGCGGUAAUACGUAGGGUGCGAGCGUUGUCCGGAAUUACUGGGCGUAAAGAGCUCGUAGGUGGUUUGUCGCGUCGUCUGUGAAAUUCCGGGGCUUAACUCCGGGCGUGCAGGCGAUACGGGCUGACUUGAGUGCUGUAGGGGAGACUGGAAUUCCUGGUGUAGCGGUGAAAUGCGCAGAUAUCAGGAGGAACACCGAUGGCGAAGGCAGGUCUCUGGGCAGUAACUGACGCUGAGGAGCGAAAGCAUGGGUAGCGAACAGGAUUAGAUACCCUGGUAGUCCAUGCCGUAAACGGUGGGCGCUAGGUGUAGGGGGCUUCCACGUCUUCUGUGCCGUAGCUAACGCAUUAAGCGCCCCGCCUGGGGAGUACGCCGCA
rnacentral:rRNA from 1 species